UUACCACCUUGACAUCGCGGAGACUCAUUUAUUGACAGGUGCUGCAUGGCUGUCGUCAGCUCGUGUCGUGAGAUGUUCGGUUAAGUCCGGCAACGAGCGCAACCCCACUUUAGUUGCCAGCAUAUGGGACUCUAGAGAAACGCCCGUGAUAACGGGAGGAAGGUGUGGAUGACGUCAAGUCCUCAUGGCCCUUACGGUGGGCUACACACGUGCUACAAUGGUUUACAAGGGAUCCCCAAAGAGUCUCAGUUCGGAUUGGGGUCUGCAACUCGACCCCAUGAAGUUGGAAUCGCUAGUAAUCGUAAACAGCAUGUACGGUGAAUACGUUCCCGGGCCUUGUACACACCGCCCGUCACACCAUGGGAGUUGGUCACCGAC
rnacentral:rRNA from 1 species